GACGAACGCUGGCGGCGUGCUUAACACAUGCAAGUCGAACGGAAAGGCCCUGCUUUUGUGGGGUGCUCGAGUGGCGAACGGGUGAGUAACACGUGAGUAACCUGCCCUUGACUUUGGGAUAACUUCAGGAAACUGGGGCUAAUACCCGAUAGGAGCUCCUGCAGCACGGUGGGGGUUGGAAAGUUUCGGCGGUGGGGGCUGGACUCGCGGCUUAUCAGCUUGUUGGUGGGGUAGUGGCUUACCAAGGCUUCGACGGGUAGCCGGCCUUGGAGGGGGACCGGCGACAUGGGUACUGCGAGACGGCCCAGACUCCUACGGUAGGCAGUAGGGGGGAAUCUUGCGCAAUGGGCGGAAGCCUGAUGCAGCAACCCCGGGUGCGGAAUGACGUGUUUCGGGUUGUAAACCGCUUUCGCCUGUAACGAGGCGUGAGUGACGGUAAUGGGUAAAGAAGCACCGGCUAACUACGUG
rnacentral:rRNA from 1 species